UACGUAGGGCGCAAGCGUUGUCCGGAAUUAUUGGGCGUAAAGAGCUCGUAGGCGGUUUGUCGCGUCUGCUGUGAAAAACCUAAGGCUCAACCUUGGGCUUGCAGUGGGUACGGGCAGACUAGAGUGCGGUAGGGGGUGACUGGAAUUCCUGGUGUAGCGGUGGAAUGCGCAGAUAUCAGGAGGAACACCGAUGGCGAAGGCAGGUCACUGGGCCGCAACUGAC
rnacentral:rRNA from 1 species